UGCUGUGUGUGGUACUCUCUUCCAGAGAAUGGCAAUCACGAAUAAUUAAAUGAGAUUGACAUCUCUGUGAGUGGAGUAAUGCAUGACAU
ensembl:miRNA